rnacentral:misc_RNA from 1 species
CUACCCUACAAAAUUCAAGUGUUAUUAGUUUAGUUAUUACGUCAAAAUUUAUCUCUUAGCUUUAGUUUUCUACAGACUGCCUUUUUCUUUAGUGAAAUGUUAUCAAACAAGUGCUUCAGCUUAGCUUAGGCCCUCGAGGACAUAGAAUUAGAUAAGAAUUAAUAUAUUUUUAUAAAAAUGAGUGGAAUACAUAUUAAUUAUUAUUAUCUUAUUGAUAUUAUUCAUUCAAUCAUUAAUAGUUAAUACUAAUCAAUUAUAAUCAUUCACAUUGGUAACGAAUAAGUAACGAAUAAUUAAUAAAUUAUAUUAAUUAUUAUAUUGCUAUUGACUAUUUUGAGAGUUGUGCACUGUGAAGCCUUUUCAGGCCUUCAAGAAUAUUUUUUAUUUGUAUGCCCUUCAAUAACGUCCUUGACAUCGGAAAUGCUUUGGAAAUCGUUAUUAUUAAUAUUUAUAUUAUAAUUGUCCAUUGAUGAUCGUAUAUUUCUGGCAAAGGAAAACACACAUCGAUAUUUAAAAGGACAGAGUUACAUUAUUGUCAAUAAUAUAAAUUAUACAAGGUCUUAAUGGAGGUUAUUGAAUAUUUAGACAAUAUCCCUGACUCUAUGCAUCGACCUCGUCCUCACUAUCAACAGAAAUCCUUUUGGGACUGCGGAAUCUCCUGUUUCAUUAUGAUUCUGGAUGAAAAGGAUCGAAAAUGGAUGCUGAAUGACAACAAUAUUGCUAAAGUAUGUGCAGAUGAGGGAUUUGCACAAUCCACUUGGACUAUUGAUCUCUGCUAUCUCCUUAAAAAGUUCCGUAUUCCAUUUCUGUUCACAACCAUUACAAAAGGAGUGGAUCCAAACUACUCAGAGGAGACAUACUAUGAUAAAGUCCUUCAAAAAGAUACAGAGCGUGUCAUUAGAAGAUUUGAAGAGGCCGAAAGGAAUUGUAUUUCCGUUCAAGAGCGAAGUGUCCCAUUAUCCGAAAUUAUCACACAUCUUGCUAAAGCGGGACCCAUGAUUGCUUUAGUCAACGCCAAUGCGCUCAGAACUUUUCCAAGUCUAGAUUUUAGUAAUUACCAGGGUCAUUACAUUCUUGUUGUGGGGUAUGAUCUUCAAAAGAAGUCUAUUUAUUUUCAAGACCCUAGUUUUAAAUCAUCUGUAAACGUUGCAUCUUUUGCACAAUUUGAAAAGGCGAGAAAGUUUUUUGGUACGGACGAGGAUAUUAUAUUUAUUUACUCCAAAAUGGUUUAAUGGAAGGAAUUCCAUUUAUUUAUAAAAUUUUGUCAGGAGAGAAGAUGAAAAUCAUAAGGAAUUAGGACAAUAUUUCCUAUCUGACAUUAUAUCAUAAUAGGAUUAAAAUGUCUUCUCUUUCAUCUCUGUUCAACUAUAAUCUCAUUUGAUGCUCCUAAUACUUUUAGUAUAUGUUCAGUUGAUAAAAGCCAAAGUUAAAACUUUGUUCCGGUCAGUUUAGACAUUCAUUCCUCAGAUUGUAAUAUUCUUUCCGGGUCUUAUCAACAUUCCACUAAGUCGGUUAUUACAAAUAAUUUAAUCUCUUACGUUUGUUUAAUCAUCAUAAUUCUAAUAGUUAUCUUUAUACACAUUUAAACUAAUUUGUAGGUAGCUUUUUUAAACAUCAUCAUUGUCAGUCAGUGCAUAUUAAUUUUAAUAUUUUCAUUAAGACGUAUAUUUUGUAAAAAUGAAGUUAAUUAUGUGUAUGAUUUAUUAUUGAUUUAUAAACAUAUAUUAAUAUAUAAUGUGUCAAAAAUUGUAAAGAUAUAUUUUAUGAAUGAUAUAAAUGGCAGUACUAAAGAAUUAAAUUAUCGGAUUUUUUUUCUCAUUUGAUAAGAAAUUCAUUAUCGUUUAA